rnacentral:rRNA from 1 species
GGUCAAGUAUUUAAGGGCGUACGAAGGAUGCCUUGGCACUACCAGGCGAUGAAGGACGUGGUUACCUGCGAUAAGUCCCGGUGAGCUGGAAGCAAGCUUUGAACCGGGAAUCUCCGAAUGAGAAAACUCCACACGGCAAAACCGUGUGAUCCUAGCAAUAGGAAGCUAAACCCAGGGAAUUGAAACAUCUUAGUACCUGGAGGAAAAGAAAGUAAAAACGAUUUCGUUAGUAGCGGCGAGCGAACGCGAAACAGCCUAAACCGAAGUUAUGUCAAGCUUGAGGGCGUUGUGACAUCGGUGUUGUAGGGCUGGCAUGGGUUCACCUCAAUGGACCUGCAAAGUUACCAAAUUACCAUGUAGAAGAAGUGUUUGGGAAAACACGCCACAGCGGGUGAUAGCCCCGUAUUUUAAACAUGUGUAGUCUUUGAGCCAGUUCCUGAGUACCACGGAGUACGUGAAGUUCCGUGGGAAUCCGCGAAGACCAUUUCGCAAGGCUAAAUACUAGGUAGUGACCGAUAGUGAACAAGUACUGUGAAGGAAAGGUGAAAAGCACCGCGGGAGCGGAGUGAAAUAGAACCUGAAAUCGUACGCUUACAAGGUAUGGAAGCCCGCAAGGGUGACCGUGUGCCUUUUGUAGCAUGAGCCUGCGAGUUACUGUAUGCAGCAAGGUUAAGGAAUUAAGUUCCGGAGCCGAAGCGAAAGCGAGUCUGAAUAGGGCGUUUUGAGUUGCAUGCUUUAGACCCGAAGUUGAGUGAUCUAGCCUUGGUCAGGAUGAAGUGGCGGUAACACGCCAUGGAGGUCCGAACUCGUGAAUGUUGAAAAAUUCUGAGAUGAACUGAGGCUGGGGGUGAAAGGCCAAUCAAACUCAGCGAUAGCUGGUUCUCCUCGAAAUGUAUUUAGGUACAGGGUUCGAUGUUUAAUUAUGGGGGUAGAGCGCUGUUUGGGCUAGGGGCCUUACCCGGUUACCAAACCCAGGCAAACUACGAAUACCAUAAUUUUAGAGUCGAGCACUGAGUCAGUGGGUGAUAACGUUCAUUGGCGAGAGGGAAACAACCCGGAUCGACAGCUAAGGUUCCUAAAUCUAUGCUAAGUGAUAAAGGAUGUCUGGUCGCACAGACAAUUAGGAGGUUGGCUUAGAAGCAGCCACCCUUUAAAGAGUGCGUAAUAGCUCACUAAUCGAGCGAUUGGGCGCCGAAAAUGUACGGAUCUAAGUGUAGUACCGAAGCUUCGGGCGGGGCGAAUCGAGAGAUUCGCCUUGCGGUAGAGGAGCGUUCCUACAGCGGCGAAGGUAUAGCGAGAGCAGUGCUGGAGCGGUAGGAAGUGAGAAUGCAGGCAUGAGUAGCGAAAAUGACGGUUAAAUUCCGUCACAUCGUAAGCCCAAGGGUUCCGCAGCAAGGUAACUCCGCUGCGGGUUAGCCGGUUCCUAAGGUGAGGCCGACAGGCGUAACCGACGGUAACCUGGUUUAUAUUCCAGGGCUUAGUUCAAGGCGCGAUGGGGUGACGCAAGAAGAUAGGGAAGCAGCCUAAUGGAUGGCUGUAUAAGGUCGUAGGCGUUGAGAUGGUCAGGCAAAUCCGGCCGUUGAGCUGAAAGCUGAUAUGGAGUGGGCCUUCGGGUUUCACGAAGUUUCUGAUUCUAUGCUGCCAAGAAAAACCUCUAAGUUUACUUGAACUAAACCGUACCCGAAACCGACACAGGUGGGCGAGGAGAGAAUCCUCAGAUGCGCGAGAGAAACCUCGUUAAGGAACUCGGCAAAAUGACCCCGUAACUUCGGGAGAAGGGGUGCCUCAUUAUCGUGCAAGCGAGAAGAGGCUGCAAUAAAGAGUCCGCGGCGACUGUUUACCAAAAACACAGGUCUCUGCAAACACGUAAGUGGAUGUAUAGGGGCUGAUACCUGCCCGGUGCUGGAAGGUUAACAGGAGAUGUUAGGAGUAAUCCGAAGCAUUGAAUCGAAGCCCCAGUAAACGGCGGCCGUAACUAUGACGGUCCUAAGGUAGCGAAAUUCCUUGUCGGGUAAAUUCCGACCUGCACGAAUGGUGUAACGACUGUGGAACUGUCUCAACGAGGAUCUCGGCGAAAUUGUAGUGGCAGUGAAGAUGCUGCCUACCCGCAGUGGGACAGAAAGACCCCGUGAACCUUUACUGUAACUUGGCAUUGGUUUUCGGUUUUGUAUGUGUAGGAUAGGUGGGAGACCCUGAAGUUGCGGCGCCAGCCGUGAUGGAGUCGUCCUUGAAAUACCACCCUUACGAAAUUGAAAACCUAACCUGGCGUUACUUUUAUAUUUGAGUCUUGCGCAAGCAAGAUUAAGAUGAAAAUAAUACUAGAGCCUUGAGUAAAAGGGAUUCACACAGAUCAGAGAUGCUUAGUUGCGUUGAAAAUCGGUGUAAAUCACACAAUCUUCUGUUCUAAAUUUUUAGGAUAAGAGUUAACGAGUAUAUUUAUUCAAGGCUCCAGAUUCGCCUUACCUAGCGGUAAGGUUAUCAAACAUAAAAGCAACGCCAGGGACAAUGUCAGGCGGGCAGUUUGACUGGGGCGGUCGCCUCCCAAAGAGUAACGGAGGCGCCCUAAGGUUCCCUCAGCACGGUUGGAAAUCGUGCGAAGAGUGUAAAGGCAUAAGGGAGCUUGACUGUAAGACUUACAAGUCGAGCAGGGACGAAAGUCGGGCUUAGUGAUCCGGUGGUUUCCGCAUGGAAGGGCCAUCGCUCAACGGAUAAAAGGUACUCCGGGGAUAACAGGCUUAUCGCGUCCAAGAGUCCAUAUCGACGACGCGGUUUGGCACCUCGAUGUCGGCUCGUCGCAUCCUGGGGCUGGAGCAGGUCCCAAGGGUUUGGCUGUUCGCCAAUUAAAGCGGCACGCGAGCUGGGUUCAGAACGUCGUGAGACAGUUCGGUCCGUAUCCACUGUGGGCGUUGGAAAUUUGAGAGGACUUGUCCCUAGUACGAGAGGACCGGGAUGAACGAACCUCUGGUGUACCGGUUGUGGCGCCAGCUGCAACGCCGGGUAGCUAUGUUCGGAAGGGAUAACCGCUGAAAGCAUCUAAGCGGGAAGCCUGCCUCAAGAUAAGAUUUCCCUGGUGGGGUUCGCCCCAUCCUAAAGACCCCUGGCCAACUACCAGGUUGAUAGGCUAUAGGUAUAAACAGUGUAAGCUGUGAGCCAAGUAGUACUAAUCGGUCGUGAGGCUUGACCAU